UUUUCCCCUAGAAGUGUUGUAGGUGUGGCUGCUAUGUCACAUGUACAUCAGUAUAUGGCAGAGAGGAGAGAGACUGUGUCUAUGCUUAGUGUUCCGACCAUUGUCAAUUUGGUAGCAUUAAAACCUUAAAAA